rnacentral:lncRNA from 1 species
AAUAGUCGAAACACAGUGUAUGAGAGAAGUGCCAUGCCAUUGAAGUGUGUCAUUUCUGGUUGUCUCAAGUCUUUCCAUGCAUACUUUUCAGUCGGCUGAAGUACUUACACUCGAUGAAUUCUGGGUAUCAUCCAUCGUAUCACCGUUAUCUAAAGCAAACGCAUUCUGAUUCUUUUAUAGCAUUCUCUCAGGCAGAGGAAAAUGUAUUGGAAAAGUGAAAUCAGAGGAAGUAUUACCGAAAUGCUUCUGUAAGUACAAGAAAACAGCAUGAUCCAAGUGAGCAAAAUUUGUACAGGUAACUAACUAAUCAUGCUUGGCUUUCAUCGUCAUUACAUUUGACUCAAAUUCAUUUAUUACUUCUCUCCAAAUGAUACAAUGUAUCUGUGGAUGUGUUAAUUAGUUCUUCGCCUACAAUCCCUCGUACAUAAUUCCAUAUAAAACUGUAUUGGGCACAAAUAACAACAUAGCAACUCAAUUGCUGCAGUUUUAAGCCCAAAGUCUUCCGUGCCUUCAACCAGUUUAGUUACUCAAGUGUUAAUUACUUGCUUGCUGCUAACUGGUGCUGGCAUCACCCUUCUUGGCUGCCUCUUCCUGCAACUUCUUUGUCCAGUACUCCUCGAGAGGCGGCCCAAAAAUGGCCUUCCCAGAGACCACUCCUAUUCUGUACACAAUGCUUUGGUUUAGAGAGUAACAGUCUGGGAUAACAUGAAAGUAAUAUACAUACAAAUGGAGAUGAAGUGAAAUAUUUACUAAGUAGAUGCUAUGCAUGGUAGAAUCUUUUUAACUCUUUGAUGACACAGAGGACUGAUGAUAAGAGUGAAGCCUAUUUGAAAUACAAAAGCAUGUAGAUUCCUAGAUAAUCAUAACCUGGACUACCAUCCCUGACUAUAUAAGGGCUGUAGAAAAGAAUGAAAAGACAAUGAUAGAUGAGCAGCUUUUGGUAUACGCAAUAAAAAAAAAAAAGAAGUUCAGAUUGUAGUUUUGUGUUCUAUUUUGCUCAGAAGUAAGAUGGACUUUUAUUUUUUAUUUUUGGUGUUAUCUGUAAUCAGUAUGCCUUUCUACAUGUGACAUCCCACCUAUUUGAGUUCAGCUACACAGAGAAAUAUCAAUACCUCCAUGGAAAAUCAAAUCUUCCAUUUUUACUUUCCUGGACUUUUUUGUCUCUUCUUGCACCACUAAUCGGAUUCGAUGCAUGUCGUCUAAUUCACAACAUCUCAAGAUCUUCUUUGAAUAUGUCCAAAACAUUCUUCUAAACUAUUUCCUUAUUUUAUCCUCUACAGAAUUUAGACUUAAUUGUUUUCGAGUGAAAGCAUUUCUUAUUAUAUUUUUUAAUAGCUAAUUCAAUAAAACAUAUACAAAAAGCUUGUGUUGCUGAGAUGAAAAUGUUGAGUUGGACAUGUGGAGUUGCUAUGAAAAAAAAAAAACAAGAUAUUUUUAUCGAUGAACAAUCAGGCAUAUCUUCGAUAGAGAAUAAAAAAAAGAGGGAGAAUGGUUGGCAAUGGUAUAAGAAUGUGCUCAAGAGAGCACAUUAGUAGUUUGGAAAGGUGAACCAAAUACUAUUAAUGAUACGAGGAGAGAUAGAGGAAGAUCUAAAAAACUUUAAUAGAAACUAUAAACAAAGGUUAAAUCUUCAUAACUAAUCUUGCAUAUUCAUGUAGCCGAUCCCAAAUAGUUGAGACUUUACGACUUUACUGUUACUAUUGUAACAUACUCCAUAAAUUAUAACUUUCUCAUCUUGGCCGUGAUAAGUUUUUGUAUACCUUGUUCGUUAGUUAUCCCACACUUUGAAACGUUGACCUCCUUGCUUCUCACAUAAUACAUCCCGACGCCCACUCAGCUUCAUUUCUCCUUGAUCCAUAGAGACAAAAUCAUGGAAGAUAAGACUCGUGAAAUUACGGGUCACUAACAAAUGCUAUACAGAAAAGGAAAAGCAAUGUCAUACUUUUUUCCGGUUGCAUCUAGUGAUCCUCAAGCAAUCAAUCAGAUCAACAACAUUGCAGAGCAUAGAUAGAUCCAUCAAACAACAAAGAAAUGAUACAGCUUUCUUGUCCAAAAUAAAUCUUGGAGGAAGUAGAACAGCAAAGUCAAUUCGUCAAUCAAUGAGAGGGCAUGCAUACACCUGAGUUGGGAAGGGAAUGGGGCACACGAUCAUAGCAUCCAAGAACUGUGACCUACCAAUGAAAACAACCAUUCAUUCAAUCUGACAAAGGAACAUGCAAACAUUGCAGUAGGCUCUCUCGAUUACCGUAUCCCUCCACCAACUCCGACAGAGAGAAGAAACGCCCCUUGUCUGACCUCAUCGAUCUCACUUAGAACAGCAUCAAAGGUGAUCUUCUUUUCGUAAUUCACUACUCUGCUACCUAAAUCCAGAAUCCAAGGAUCUUCCUAGUUGCACUGCAAUCCGACUCCCUCCAAGUCCCAAGCAAGACAACAUCUUCAUCCUCCUCCAACUGUUCCAUCCAGUUUUUAGGAUCCCUAAGGCUUAAUACCCAUCACAAAUUAAUCAAAACCGGUUAGGAAUUUGAUCUCUAACACUAGCCCGCCGUAGAUCAUCGAUAGAUGUGUGCGAUCGGACAUGGAACGGACGCCACAACCGUGUGGUGCUCAGAACUAUGAGUUAGGGUUUGCAAUGUCUCCAGGCGCACAAAUUAGGGUUUCGAAAGAAGAAGAGACGUAGACAUCGAAUAAGAAUAGGUUAGUCAGAGAGAAACGAAGAAAAGAAACACUUACAUUACCGCGCCGAUCACCAAAGGGAACGACAAGAACCUCCCACGGCGAAACAUCGCCUACUCCUCGAUCCCUCUCUCCACCCUCACACGCCAAUGAAGCCGUUCGGUAUAUAUAUCCCCACCUAAGCGAUCAAACGAAUCGGACGGCUAUGAUUCACUGACCAAGAUCCACUGUUCGAUCACGGAUGGACGGCGCCGGCCUCAGCCGCCUUCCAUGCUUCUACCUCUCCCUAGCCGUCGUCCAUCUCUCAGAUCCGCUCCUCCGCCGGAGAUGCACCACGCCCCGACGAGCCUGACGGCCUAGUCCUCUGCGGCGAGUACCCCCGGGGAGUCGUUUCCCACUCAUGGAUCAAUCAAACCGCGCCCAACACGGUCUCGAGCUCGUUCGACUCGAGAGGAGUUGAGGAAGGAAGUAAGGAAUAACUAAAUAAGGAAUAUGAGACACGUAGAAAGUCGUUACUUAAUGGCAUUGACUAAAU